CCUACGGGAGGCAGCAGUGGGGAAUUUUGGACAAUGGGGGAAACCCUGAUCCAGCCAUGCCGCGUGCGGGAAGAAGGCCUUCGGGUUGUAAACCGCUUUCGGCCGGGACGAAAUCGCAUCGACGAAUAUUCGGUGUGGAUGACGGUACCGGAAGAAGAAGCACCGGCUAACUACGUGCCAGCAGCCGCGGUAAUACGUAGGGUGCGAGCGUUAAUCGGAAUUACUGGGCGUAAAGCGUGCGCAGGUGGCUGCGUAAGCUAGAGGUGAAAUCCCCGGGCUUAACCUGGGAACUGCCUUUAGGACUGCGUAGCUUGAGUGCGGCAGAGGGAGCUGGAAUUCCACGUGUAGCAGUGAAAUGCGUAGAUAUGUGGAGGAACACCGAUGGCGAAGGCAGGCUCCUGGGCUAGCACUGACACUCAGGCACGAAAGCGUGGGGAGCAAACAGGAUUAGAUACCCUGGUAGUCCACGCCCUAAACGAUGCGAACUAGUCGUUGGGGGAGAAAUCCCUUAGUGACGCAGCUAACGCGUGAAGUUCGCCGCCUGGGGAGUACGGUCGCAAGAUUAAAACUCAAAGGAAUUGACGG
rnacentral:rRNA from 1 species